rnacentral:rRNA from 1 species
UACGGAGGGUGCAAGCGUUGUCCGGAAUCACUGGGCGUAAAGGGCGCGUAGGCGGCUCAUGAAGGCUGUGGUGAAAGUCCGGGGCUCAACCUCGGAUCGGCCGUGGCGACUCGUGGGCUGGAGCACUGUAGAGGCGGGUGGAAUUCCGGGUGUAGCGGUGGAAUGCGUAGAGAUCCGGAGGAACACCAGUGGCGAAGGCGGCCGCCUGGGCCAGUCCUGACGCUGAGCCGCGAAAGCGUGGGGAGCGAUCCGG